UACGAAGGGUGCAAGCGUUGCUCGGAAUUAUUGGGCGUAAAGGGUUGGUAGGUGGUCUUGUUUGUCUAAGGUGAAAUCCCAGGGCUUAACCUGGGAAUGGCCUUUGUGACUGCACGGCUAGAGUGUGUCAGAGGGGGGUAGAAUUCCACGUGUAGCAGUGAAAUGCGUAGAGAUGUGGAGGAAUACCGAUGGCGAAGGCAGCCCCCUGGGAUAACACUGACGCUCAUGCACGAAAGCGUGGGGAGCAAACAGG
rnacentral:rRNA from 1 species